AUGAGCCAGACAUUUUCUUCCAGUGGCGUAAAAGACUUUUCCUUCCAACGCUGUCACUUUUUCCACAGCGCUGGACGCCGAGCUGGGCGAGCUGCUGCAGGAGUUCCAGGAUGUGGUGGAGGAGCUGAAGGCCCCGUCUCAGAGCAAACCUCACGCCUACCAGCACGUGCUGCAGGAAGCCAAGAGCCGCACGGGGCUGGGAGACGACAGCGGAGUGGAGGACUCGGAUUACAGCAGCGAGGCCUCUCUGGGAAACAGCUUGAACACCAGCGAGGAAGAGCUUCACACAGCAGGCGUAAAGCUGGCACCGAAAGCCAAGCUGGGAGACACGAGGGAACUGGAUAGUUUCAUCGACGCGUUGGACCGGGAGCUUGCUGAGAUGUGA
ensembl:lncRNA